AAUGUGUGUGUGUGUGUGGCUUGGUUUAUUUCCAAAUCGCACAGUAACCCGCAUUCUAUGCUGGUUUUCAGCUGCCGUACAAAUGUUUCUCGCAAUUCUGCUAUUGUACUUUACUUUAGAGAGCGGUAAAGGAAUCAUCGAGUUUUCCUGUUCCCUUACAUUUUUCAUUGUAAUGCUCUUGUUAUCGGCUUGGCUAAUCGACGUACUCGUGCAGCACAAUUUAUUGGCAUUGACGAUAUAUAUGGUAACAUUCGCAUUCUCUGGCGUGUUUGUCAUUACCUAUCUGUUGCUUGUUGUUUUCAACGUCAUUGACAAGAGGGACCCAACGAUUAAUUAUGAGGCAUGGAAAGAUCAACUGAUUGCUGUAUUAUUUACAGUCAACUAUGUGUUCACAUUGGCUGCGUUGCAUUUAUAUCGCACAACAAUAUUGGCAGAGAAUGCGAGCCUGGAAAACACUUUCUAACGCGGACUAUUCUAUCUUUCGCUUGGAUGGGUCUGGUGCCAAAACAAUUUCGUUUAUUGUCUCCCCUUGCAUCUGUGUGGGGGAGCUGGCGUGGGGCAUGCAACAAAGAGUCAAGUGGUUGAGUGGCAUGCACGACUAGAGUUACAGCAAUGCCUGCUAUUCGCUACUCUACUCUUCUACGGUAUUUUACACUUGCAGCUGGUAUUUCAGAUUUGCAACAAGAUUUGUAACGCACUGAACAAGUCGUAAUGCAGCUUUACUAGUUUUUUUAAUCUAUCUGACCUGGACUAUUGCUGCGUAACUUUUGAGUUUUAUCUGCCGACAGAUUUUUAUUAGCGCACCAUUUUAUCAUUGCCCCAGCGACCAGGAAGCCAAACAGCCGACAAUUCUACGUGCCUAGACAGUGGCAACUAGCAGCGGCAGGCAAGCAGACAAUCCAACCACACAAACACACACAAAGGCACACACACACACACACUCAAACACACACACACACAUAUAUAUGGUGUGCACAUUUCCAGCUCAAUUGCGCGCUCAAUGAAUAAUUUAGUUGAAAAUUUCGGCGCACUUUUUGUGUGAAAAUGCGGUCUAUACAGUUAUUUGAGUGCAACAGCCUAUCCACUCCCCCCUCCUCGCCUGUCAUCCACCCGCACCGUUCGUCUGCUCAGUCAGUCAUAAAAUUUAUGCGUUUUUCCUUACAGUUUUUCUCAUUUUGGUGGGAGCUCGGCUCUCGUUUGCCUCAUAAAAUGACUUGCGCAACAGUUGAAAAAUUCUAAACGCCGUCAUAAAUGCUAGACGACCAUGCCCCCGUGCCCCCCGUGAUGGCCGGCGUAGCUGCACUUUGCUGGCGUUGCCAUAUCAGCGCCAUAAAUAAAUUUUUCGUGUU
rnacentral:sRNA from 1 species